CAAGGAAUCUUCCGCAAUGGGCGAAAGCCUGACGGAGCAACGCCGCGUGUGGGAUGACGCCUUUCGGGGUGUAAACCACUUUUCUCAGGGAAGAAGCACUGACGGUACCUGAGGAAGAAGGACCGGCUAACUACGUGCCAGCAGCCGCGGUAAUACGUAGGGUCCGAGCGUUGUCCGGAGUUACUGGGCGUAAAGCGCGCGCAGGCGGCGGUGUAAGCAUGGCGUGAAAGCCCCAGGCUCAACCUGGGAGGGUCGUCGUGGACUGCACCGCUUGAGGGCGGUAGGGGCUGGUGGAAUGCCUGGUGUAGUGGUGAAAUGCGUAGAGAUCAGGCGGAACACCCGUGGCGAAGGCGGCCAGCUGGGCCGUCCCUGACGCUGAGGCGCGAAGGCGUGGGGAGCGAACG
rnacentral:rRNA from 1 species